rnacentral:ncRNA from 2 species
GGCCAUCUGCGCGACUGGCGCUUGGAUGGGAUACCAUCGGGGAGCGCAGAGACUGACGCCGCGCGCCUGGGCACCGCUU